CCCUUAGAUGUUCUGGGCCGCACGCGCGCUACACUGACGGAGGCAGCGAGCAUGUCCUUCGCCGAGAGGUGUGGGGAAUCUUGUGAGUCUCCGUCGUGCUGGGGAUAGAUGGUUGCAAUUGUCGAUCUUGAACGAGGAAUUCCUAGUAAGCGCGAGUCAUCAGCUCGCGCUGAUUACGUCCCUGCCCUUUGUACACACCGUCCGUCGCUCCUACCGAUUGAGUGAUCCGGUGAAUAAUUCGGACUGCGGCAUUGACCGGUUCCCGAUCGUUGCUGCGGAAAGUUUAGUGAACCUUAUCACUUAGAGGAAGGAGAAGUCGUAACA
rnacentral:rRNA from 1 species